GAUAGAUAGAUAGAUAGAUAGAUAGAUAGAUUUUAGUUUUAGCAUAGAUAGAUAGAUAGAUAGAUAGAUAGAUAGAUAGAUUUUAGUUUUAGCAUAGAUAGAUAGAUAGAUAGAUAGAUAGAUAGAUAGAUUUUAGUUUUAGCGUAGUAGGCAGGAUAGAUAGAUAGAUAGAUAGAUAGAUAGAUAGAUAGAUAGAUAGAUAGAUAGAUUUUAGUUUUAGCGUAGUAGGCAGGAUAGAUAGAUAGAUAGAUAG